rnacentral:rRNA from 1 species
CUUGGUCAUUUAGAGGAAGUAAAAGUCGUAACAAGGUUUCCGUAGGUGAACCUGCGGAAGGAUCAUUACCGAGUUAGGGUCUUCCAGGCCCGAUCUCCAACCCUGUGUCUAUAUUACCAUGUUGCUUUGGCGGGCCCGCUCUCAGGGGCCGCCGGGGGCGUUUAUCGCCUCUGGCCAGUGCUCGCCGGUAGCCUAAUUAAAUUCUUUUAACUGUGUUGUCUGAGUAUACAUUUAAAUCGUUAAAACUUUCAACAACGGAUCUCUUGGUUCUGGCAUCGAUGAAGAACGCAGCGAAAUGCGAUAAGUAAUGCGAAUUGCAGAAUUCAGUGAGUCAUCGAAUCUUUGAACGCACAUUGCGCCCUUUGGUAUUCCGAAGGGCAUGCCUGUUCGAGCGUCAUUAUCAACCAUCAAGCCUGGCUUGUCGUUGGACCUUUUUGUCGGUGAAACACACGACAGGUCCGAAAGAUAGUGACGGUGUCGUGUUUGACCCUAGAUGCAACGAGCUUUCAUAGCACGCAUUGAAGUGGUCGGUCGGCCCGGUCUUAACCAUCAUUUUUCUCAGGUUGACCUCGGAUCAGGUAGGAAUACCCGCUGAACUUAAGCAUAUCAAUAAGCGGAGGA